CUUCAGAACCAAGCAAAGAAAUCUGUGAGGCAAAUCCAGAUUCUCUGCCAUAGAUGGGGGACAUACCUCAUCAUCCCAUCACUACAACAAAAAAGAAGAGCAAUUUUGAUCAGGUUGCUGCUGAUGGGACUUGAGAGGUCAGGAAGAGACUCUUCUUCCCCCACAGACAAAUUGAUAUGUUUGUGUAUUUUCUUAGUUGAACAAUUCUUGACCGUUUGAAUUUGCUACCGAAACAAUCAACUUGAAGUAUUAAGCUUGAAAUGGAAAGACAUGUUGAUGAAAAAUAUCGAUAUGAUUGUCUUUGAUGAGAUUCAAGAAGAGUAAUUGGACUAAAAUAAAUUAUAGUGAAUACACAAGAAAAGGAAGAAAAAGUAAAAAGGGGAAAUAUCACUUCAUUCAACAGCAUUGUAUGGCUUCAUGAUGUAAAACAUAACAUGUUCUAAGUUCCUUCUCA